CUGAAAGGAGUUUCUAAAAGGAAAUACAAGUGGGGAGGUGCGGGAAGUCAAAGAACCAAGGAAAGAUUAGAAGGUUAAAUGAAAUUAUAAAUUUUUAAAUUUUUCUGUUUUAUUGUUAUUUUUUGUUCUCCUUUUGUUACUGUUAUUGUUGUUUUUUGUCUUUGAAAAUCUGUAUUUUUGUAUGUUUUGGAAUUUUUGUAAAACCAAUAAAUAUUAUAUUAAAAAAAAAAAAAAAA